CCCAAAUUCUUCUCAAAGUUUCCUAUAAAUAGUGACCAUUUGUAUGGAGUCCUUUGAUCAUAGGCUCUCAUUAAUCAUUCUCUUCUUUCUUUUCUUUCAACCAAUAUCUCCUCUUUCUUUUUAUUUUAUAUUUUCUUUUUAUUUAUUUAUUUAUCUUUUUUUUUUUCCCUAAAAUGAAGUUGGGGGCAAAAGGAGGAACAUAUGUGAUAUGUUGUUGACAGAAGAUAGAGAGCACAGAUGAUGAUAUGCAAAAUUCAUUAUUAUUUGUUUUUAUUUUUAGAAAUUUAGAGAGCCACUAUUAUGCAUCUCACUCCAUUUGUGCUCUCUAUGCUUCUGUCAUCACUAUCUUCACCCUUCCUUUAAUUUCCCAUCCUUCACUUUUUUUUUUUUUUUUACUUAAUUUUCUAAUUUGUUUCUUCUUCUUUUUAAUCUUCUUUUAAUUCCUAAUUAGUUUUAAUUACUUAUAUGCUCUCAAUUUUAUGUUUUAUUCUAUGUUCAAGUGUUUCAAAACCCUCCAAACAUCAUAUGAUCUUAUAGAUUAAUGUUGUCAAUUUGUCUCUCUCAAUCUUUAAUUACAUAAAUAUAUGUAAUACAUGUGCAAAUAUUUAAGCUAAUUAACUAUAGCCCUAAGAAAUGUGUUGAUUUUUCUAUGUUUUAGGUUCUUUGUGUUGCAGUCCAAAUAGCUAGCUAGGGCAAGGGGAUGAGGAGAAUUGAGAAAUAUGCAAAUUUUUAAGUCUUUAUUUGGAAAUUAUCAUAUGAUCAAGAGUUGCAACAAAAUCAUAAUUACCAAGAUGCUAUAUGCCAUGAGAUAUUGAAAGAGUAAAGUGAAUAUUCCUCAAAAGGGGGGAAAUGAAGGCUCACAAUGCCACUUGCUUGAUUGAUUUGUGGGUGAGAAUUGUCAUUCAUCUUGCAAGGAUAUGUGUUGGGUUUUAUUGUGAUAAAUAAAAAGAAAAGUUUUGGAGGCAAAGAAGGAAGGGACAACUAAGAGAAGGGAUUUGGAAUAAAUCCUCACCUAAAAAUGAAGCCAUUAUUUUUCAUCCAUUCUAAUAGAUUAUUCCAUAAUUUUCAGCACAUUCCACAAAUUCUCUCUUCUCUAACAUUUUAGUCCAUUGGGUUCGAAAAUUAACAAGAUUAAAGGAACAAAAUUAGGUUUUUUAUGGUACUAAAAUUGUAUUCAAUUUUGUAUAUGUUAUUUGGAGCCAAGAUUAAAUGAUAAUGUCGUACUUGUUAUGUAUGUGGAAUUAAGAGAUGCAAUCUAAUUAUUCUUUGUUUAGUGAAA